rnacentral:rRNA from 1 species
UACGGGGGGAGCAAGCGUUGUUCGGAUUUACUGGGCGUAAAGGGCGCGUAGGCGGCGUGACAAGUCACUUGUGAAAUCUCCGGGCUUAACCCGGAGCGGCCAAGUGAUACUGUCGUGCUAGAGUGCGGAAGGGGCUACUGGAAUUCUCGGUGUAGCGGUGAAAUGCGUAGAUAUCGAGAGGAACACCUGCGGCGAAGGCGGGUAGCUGGGCCGACACUGACGCUGAUGCGCGAAAGCUAGGGGAGCGAACAGG